GCACGGCCUAUUUUAGUCAGCUUGCUGCAGCUUCGCGGCACGGGCGUGAUGGCUCGGUUGGGCACGGCGCUUGUGCCGGCUAUGCCGAUGUGCGAACCACCUCCACGCUUCGCCUCUGCCCGCGCCGCCGAUGUCCGCUCUGCUCUGGUCGUCUUCCUCGUUGGACUUUUUGGUUCUAUCUUUAUUGGUAUCGGAGAAUACUGUUGGAAUAAACGCUGUCAAUUAAAGAAUUGUGUGAUAACAUACUUUAACCACAUUGAAAAUAUUCUUAAAUAAUUAAGUUAUUUUAAAUCGUAAUAAGCUAAGAGUGCUUUAAGUUUAGCUGUAAUGAAUAAAAGAUGGGGGAAGAUCGAAAGGCCAAAGCAGCAUAUCUCGGGACCCCGACUGGCCGCCAACCCAUCGGUAGCCCCUGGUACUGCUGGCGAGACGCCG